ACCUCUUUUUCUGAACACACACAAAAAAAGCUUAAAUAACCUUUCCCCUCCUUUCAUUUCCCUUUUCUUUCUGCUCCUCCUCAAACCCUAAUCACACACACAAACACACCACUAGCUCCUUCUUCGAGGUGGUCAUGGCCUUUUUGUAAUUUUCCUCUCCAGGCUUUUCAUUACUUCCUUUCUUGCUUUCUUAGCUUUCACAUACCAUCACACAUAUCUUCCCUAACUAGCCAGUUUUAUUAUGUCAUGAGGUGAGAGAUCUAACAUGCUCACACCUUCUUUUCUCUUCUUUUUAUAGAAAACCUUUUUCCUUAGACAAGCUUCAAAAAGAUUUGCUUCCAUUGCAGAUCAAGGAUUCCAU
rnacentral:lncRNA from 1 species